AUGGCGCCCUCCACCACAGUCCCUAGGCGGGUAAAGCGCAAGGCGCCUUCCUCAAGCGCACCUUAAAGCAGAAGCGGUACCUAGGUCUGGGGAGGUGCUACGACCUCCUGAUCCAUUUGAAUUGCCUACUUUUUGUUCAGCGAUUGGCAGAAGAGUCCAGGACAAAUGCUUGUGAAAGUAAAUCUAGAGUUAUCAAAAAGGAUCACGUACUGGCUGUAGCAAAGGUAAUUCUGAAGAAGAGCAGAGGUUAG
rnacentral:lncRNA from 1 species